rnacentral:rRNA from 1 species
AAUUAUUGGGCUUAAAGUGUCCGUAGCCGGUUUAGUAAGUUCCUGGUAAAAUCGGGUAGCUUAACUAUCUGCAUGCUAGGAAUACUGCUAUACUAGAGGGCGGGAGAGGUCUGAGGUACUACAGGGGUAGGGGUGAAAUCUUAUAAUCCUUGUAGGACCACCAGUGGCGAAGGCGUCAGACUGGAACGCGCCUGACGGUGAGGGACGAAAGCCAGGGGAGCGAACCGGAUUAGAUACCCGGGUAGUCCUGGCCGUAAACGAUGCAUACUAGGUGAUGGCACGGCCAUGAGCCAUGUCAGUGCCGUAGGGAAACCGUUAAGUGUGCCGCCUGGGAAGUACGGUCGCAAGGCUAAAACUUAAAGGAAUUGGCGGGGGAGCACCACAAGGGGUGAAGCCUGCGGUUUAAUUGGACUCAACGCCGGGAAACUUACCAGGGGAGACAGUAGUAUGACGGUCAGGUUGACGACCUUACCUAACGAGCUGAGAGGAGGUGCAUGGCCGUCGCCAGUUCGUGCUGUGAGGUAUCCUGUUAAGUCAGGCAACGAACGAGAUCCGCACCUUUAUUUGCCAGCAAGAAGUCACGACUUCGUUGGGAACACUAAAGGGACCGCCGUCGAUAAGACGGAGGAAGGAGCGGGCAAAGGCAGGUCAGUAUGCCCCGAAACCCCUGGGCUACACGCGGGCUGCAAUGGUAUGAACAAUGGGCAGUAACUCCGAAAGGAGAAACCAAUCCCGAAAUCAUAUCUCAGUUGGAAUUGUCGGCUGUAACCCGCUGACAUGAACGUGGAAUCCCUAGUAAUCGU